rfam:Dipodomys ordii contig_44582, whole genome shotgun sequence.
GGUGGCUCAGUGGUAGAGCUCUUGCCUUGCAUGCAUAAGGCCCUGGGUUCGAUUCCUCAGCACCA